rnacentral:rRNA from 1 species
ACGGAAGGCAGCAGUGGGGAAUAUUGGGCAAUGGGCGAAAGCCUGACCCAGCAACGCCGCGUGAAGGAAGAAGGUCUUCGGAUUGUAAACUUCUUUUAUGAGGGACGAAGGACGUGACGGUACCUCAUGAAUAAGCCACGGCUAACUACGUGCCAGCAGCCGCGAUAAUACGUAGGUGGCAAGCGUUAUCCGGAUUUACUGGGUGUAAAGGGCGCGUAGGCGGGGAGACAAGUCAGGUGUGAAAUCUAUGGGCUCAACUCAUAAACUGCAUUUGAAACUGUAUCUCUUGAGUGUCGGAGAGGUAGACGGAAUUCCUAGUGUAGCGGUGAAAUGCGUAGAUAUUAGGAGGAACACCAGUGGCGAAGGCGGUCUACUGGUCGAUAACUGACGCUGAGGCGCGAAAGCGUGGGGAGCAAACAGGAUUAGAUACCCUGGU